CUCCGGCUUCGUCUCUCUUUCCGUCACUUCCAAGAGAGCCCAGGCUCUUGACCCCUGUGCGCGCCCUUUAAGAGGUGAGCUCCUGGGACCGAGCCUGCGCCUGCGCGGAAAAACCUCUGGGGAGCGCGAUUUCGCGCGGGCGUCCACGAUUUCGCGCGGGGAAGUAGGAGCGCAGUCUUGAGCUGGAUUCGUUCAGCUUUUAUUUGAAAACUGAGCAAAUCACAUACCACUGCAAAGUCUAACUUCCCAGUGGCCCAUCCACAUGGAAAAGGAGGCUCAUGACUUACAUGGAUCCCAAUAGAGUACAGAUGAAGGCUUCUUGCAUUGUUGGGAAGAGUUUUUCUUGUAAUAAACAACAAAAAGAUGUAUAUAUCAGUUGUUACUGGAAGUUAUUUUGAGAUAAUAAUGGUAAUCACUCUGUGGCCACAAUCAAAAUAUUGCAAAAAACAGUCAAGAGAAUCAUAAA